rnacentral:lncRNA from 1 species
GUGGGUCGCGAUUUCCGGUGGGUUUUCGACGGAGGAUGGUGGCGAUUGAAGGUUGCCGGCGAAGGGUUUGGUUGAAAGGGGUUUCGCACGGUGACAGGGAAGAGAGUUUAGUUGAGCGGUGUGAUGGGAUUGUUGUGGGUGACGGAUGAUUGAAGGUGAUUGUGGGCGGAGGAGAACAAGGGUUUGGGGUUUGGAAGAUGGAGACGGAGAGUAUUUUGUGAGGGAUUUCUUUGUGAGAGAGGGAGAGUGAAAGGUCUGUGUGUGAGAGAGGCGUUUGUGAGAAUAGUCAGUCUCCUUUUGUAUUUUCCUUUUUUUUUGUCGUUUGUGAGUGAGCAAAGAGAGAGAAGAUGUACUGAAUAGUGAAUGAGGGAGUUUGUU